rnacentral:rRNA from 1 species
GAUUCAUGGCUCAGGACGAACGCUGGCGGCGUGCCUAAUACAUGCAAGUAGAACGCUGAAGGAGGAGCUUGCUUCUCUGGAUGAGUUGCGAACGGGUGAGUAACGCGUAGGUAACCUGCCUGGUAGCGGGGGAUAACUAUUGGAAACGAUAGCUAAUACCGCAUAAGAGUAGAUGUUGCAUGACAUUUGCUUAAAAGGUGCAAUUGCAUCACUACCAGAUGG